AGAAUCCUUUAUCCAGCAAGGCUGUCAUUCAGAAUAGAAGGAGAGAUAAAGAGUUUCCCAAACAAAAACGAAAGGAGCUUGUGACCACUAAGCCAACCUAGCAAGAAAUUUUAAUGGGGACUCUGAAUGGAG